GGUUGAUCCUGCCAGUAGUCAUAUGCUUGUCUUAAAGAUUAAGCCAUGCAUGUCUAAGUAUAAAUAGUAUACAGUGAAACUGCGAAUGGCUCAUUAAAACAGUUAUAGUUUAUUUGAUAAUUGAAUUAUACAUGGAUAACCGUGGUAAUUCUAGAGCUAAUACAUGCAGUAAAACCUGACUUUUUGGAAAGGUUGUAUUUAUUAGAUAUCAAACCAAUAUUCCUUCGGGUCUAUUGUGAUGAUUCAUAAUAACUGAUCGAAGCUUAGCUCGGCUAAGCUAAAUCAUUCAAGUU
rnacentral:rRNA from 1 species